rnacentral:rRNA from 1 species
UUAGUUCAACGGCCGCGGUAUCCUAACCGUGCGAAGGUAGCGUAAUCACUUGUCUUUUAAAUGGGGACUUGUAUGAAUGGCAUCACGAGGGUUAUACUGUCUCCUUUUUCUAAUCAGUGAAACUAAUCUUCCCGUGAAGAAGCGGGAAUAAACAUAUAAGACGAGAAGACCCUAUGGAGCUUUAAACUUAAUAACAAAUACUAACCUUUCAUAAACCUUCAGAAUAUUAACCUUAAUUUUAGUAUUAUGAUUAUUAGUUUUAGGUUGGGGUGACCGCGGAGUAAAAAUUAACCUCCACAUUGAACGGGACCUGUCCCUGAGCCAAGAACUACAGCUCAAAGCACCAACAAAUUGACAUUAAUUGACCCAAUAUUUUGAUCAACGAACCAAGUUACCCUAGGGAUAACAGCGCAAUCCACUUCAAGAGCUCCUAUCGACAAGUGGGUUUACGACCUCGAUGUUGGAUCAGGGUAUCCCAGUGGUGCAGCCGCUACUAAAGGUUCGUUUGUUCAACGAUUAAAACCCU